AGUUGCGUGGUAAACGCAAAGCGAACUAUUCUUUCAAUUUUUACUAAAGAAUACCGUGUGCUCGACACAUCAAGCAGCUACUGCUAUUUUUGAGCCAUGGAUAUUUUUUAAUUUGCC